rnacentral:lncRNA from 10 species
CUCUGUUGCCACCACCAUCUAGAGUGAGACGAGCCACAGUGUUACAGGCUCCAGCCUCCAGCUCCCCCUUCUCCUGGUCCUCUAAGCCGGGAACAGAGUAGCUUGGCUGGAGAUACUGGAGAGCCUAAACUGGCAUGAGGCCUCCUCAGCAUGCACGUGGGGUUACGCACAUGGUUUCUGGACUACAUGUUCCGAUUGGGUGAGAGAAAACCUCUAGGCCUUCUCUGAUUGGACUUUAUUUUCAUACUCUGAUUGGUUGUCCUAAGACUUUCUUUCAUCCAAUCAGAACAUGAUAACAAAGUCCAAUCAGAGUAGGCCUCCGGGCUUUCUCUUAUCCAAUCCUGGAACGUGUAGUCCAGGAAAGGCAUAUUCAUAACCUCAGUACAUAAAUGGUGCUGAAGAAGAGUCAGGCUAUUCCAGGUUCUUCUGUAUCUGCUCACCGAGCUGCUCUGAGCCCGGCUUAGAGGACCAGGACAGACUGGAGGCUGUAGCCUGUGGCACCAUGGCUGGCCUCCCUGCAGUUGGUGGUGACAGAGACUGUAGUGUGGCUGGAGCGGUAGGAAAGGGAAAAUAGUUUUGGGAUAGAUGAAAGGGUAAAGAGGGUGGUUAGUGCCAAAAGGAAAAAAGGAUGGUGAGCUGGAGAAGGCAUUGCAUAAAGAUGGUAAUUUGGCCCUUUGUUUGAGCCCAUCAUCUGGGAGGUGAGUAACGCCUCUGCCCGGCCACCUUGUCUGGGAAGUGGGGAGCCCCUCUGCCCAGCCACCCCAUCUGGGAGGUGAGGAGUGCCUCUGCCUGGCCACCCAAUGUCUGGGAGGUGAGGAGUGCCUCUUCCCGGCUGCCCCAUCUGGGAGGUGAGGAGCGCCUCUGCCCGGCCACCCCCUCUGGGAAGUGAGGAGCGCCUCUGCCCGGCAGCCCUGUCUGGGAAGUGAGGAGCGCCACUGCCUGGCUGCCCCGUCUGGGUUGUGAGGAGCACCUCUGCCUGACCGCCACCCCAUCUGGGAAGUGGGGAGCGCCUUUGCCCAGCUGCCCCGUCUGGGAAGUGAGGAGCACCUUUCUCCUGCUGCCCAUCAUCUGGGAGGUGAGGAGCGCCUCUGCAUGGAUGACACACCAUCUGGGAAGUGAGGAGCGCCUCUGCCCAGCCGCCCCAUCUGGGAAGUGAGGAGUGCUUCUGCCUGGCCGCCCAUUGUCUGGGAGGUGAGGAGCGCCUCUGCCCGGCCACCCUGUCUGGGUUGUGAGGAGCGCCUCUGCCCAGCUCCCACCCUGUCUGGGAAGUGGGGAGCGCCUCUUCCCGGUCGCCCCAUCUGGGAGGUGAGGAGUGCCUCCCUCCAGCUGCCCAUCAUCUGGUAGGUGAGGAGUGCCUCUGAAUGGACGACACACAAUCUGGGAACUGAGGAGCGCCUCUGCCUGGCCGCGCCAUCUGGGAAGUGAAGAGCGCCUCUGCCCGGCCGCCCCAUCUGGGAAGUGAGGAGCGCCUCUGCCUGGCUGCCCAUCAUCUGGGAGGUGAGGAGCACCUCUCCCCAGCCACCCAUUGUCUGGGAGGUGAGGAGUUCCUCUGGCUGGCCGCCCGGUCUGGCAGUUGAGCGCCUCUGCCCGGCCACCCCCUCUGGGAAGUGAAGAGCGCCUCUGCCCAGCCUCCCCAUCUGGGAGGUGAGGAGCGCCUCUGCCCGGCUGCCCCAUCUGGGAGGUGAGGAGCGCCUCUGCCUGACCUCCACCCCAUCUGGGAAUGGGGAGUGGCAUUUCUCGGCCGCCCCAUCUGGGAAGUGAGGAGCACCUUUCUCUGGCUGCCAAUCAUCUGGGAGGUGAGAAGCGCCUCUUCACGGAUGACACACCAUCUGGGAAGUGAGGAGCGCCUCUGCCUGGCUGCCCCAUCUGGGAAGUGAGGAGCACCUCUUCCUGGUCUCCCCGUCUGGGAGGUGAGGAGCGCCGCUGCCCGGCCACCCCAUCUAGGAGGUGAGGAGCGCCUCUGCCCAGCCACCCCAUGUGGGAGGCGAGGAGCGCCUCUGCCUGGCCGCCCAGUCUGGGAGGUGAGGAGCGCCUUUGCCCAGCUGCCCAUCAUCUGGGAGGUGAGGAGCGCCUCUGCCAGCCCGCCCCAUCUGGGAGGUGAGGAGCGCCUCUUCCUGGUCUCCCCGUCUGGGAGGUGAGGAGCGCCUCUGCCCGGCCACCCCAUCUAGGAGGUGAGGAGCGCCUCUGCCCGGCCACCCCAUGUGGGAGGCGAGGAGCACCUCUGCCUGGCCGCCCAGUCUGGGAGGUGAGGAGCGCCUUUGCCCAGCUGCCCAUCAUCUGGGAGGUGAGGAGUUCCUCUGCCAGGCCGCCUCAUCUGGGAGGUGAGGAGCGCCUCUGCCCAGCCGCCCCGUCUGGGAAGUGGGGAGCACCUCUGCCUGGCCGUGAUGUCUGGGAGGUGAGGAGUGCCUCUGCCUGGCCACCCCGUCUGGGAAAUGAGGAGCACCUCUGCCUGGCUGCCCAUUGUCUGGGAGGUGAGGAGCCCCUCUGCCUGGCUGCCCCCCCUGGGAGGUGAGGAGCACCUCUGCCCAGCCGCCCCGUCUGGGAGGUGAGGAGUGCCUCUGCCCGGCCACCCAUCGUCUGGGAUGUGAGGAGUGCCUCUGCCUGGCUGCCCUUCGUCUGGUAGGUGAGGAGUGCCUCUUCCCAGCCGCCCCAUCUGGGAAAUGAGGAGCACCUCUUGCCUGGUUGCCCCAUCUGGGAAGUGAGGAGCGCCUCUGCCCAGCUGCCCCAUCUGGGAAGUGAGGAGCACCUCUGCCCAGCCGCCCCAUCUGGGAAGUGAGGAGUGCCUCUGCCUGGCUGCCCAUUGUCUGGGAGGUGAGGAGUGCCUCUGAAUGGACGACACACAAUCUGGGAACUGAGGAGCGCCUCUGCCUGGCCGCGCCAUCUGGGAAGUGAAGAGCGCCUCUGCCCGGCCGCCCCAUCUGGGAAGUGAGGAGCGCCUCUGCCUGGCUGCCCAUCAUCUGGGAGGUGAGGAGCACCUCUCCCCAGCCGCCCAUUGUCUGGGAGGUGAGGAGUUCCUCUGGCUGGCCGCCCGGUCUGGCAGUUGAGCGCCUCUGCCCGGCCACCCCCUCUGGGAAGUGAAGAGCGCCUCUGCCCAGCCUCCCCAUCUGGGAGGUGAGGAGCGCCUCUGCCCGGCUGCCCCAUCUGGGAGGUGAGGAGCGCCUCUGCCUGACCUCCACCCCAUCUGGGAAUGGGGAGUGGCAUUUCUCGGCCGCCCCAUCUGGGAAGUGAGGAGCACCUUUCUCUGGCUGCCAAUCAUCUGGGAGGUGAGAAGCGCCUCUUCACGGAUGACACACCAUCUGGGAAGUGAGGAGCGCCUCUGCCUGGCUGCCCCAUCUGGGAAGUGAGGAGCACCUCUUCCUGGUCUCCCCGUCUGGGAGGUGAGGAGCGCCGCUGCCCGGCCACCCCAUCUAGGAGGUGAGGAGCGCCUCUGCCCAGCCACCCCAUGUGGGAGGCGAGGAGCGCCUCUGCCUGGCCGCCCAGUCUGGGAGGUGAGGAGCGCCUUUGCCCAGCUGCCCAUCAUCUGGGAGGUGAGGAGCGCCUCUGCCAGCCCGCCCCAUCUGGGAGGUGAGGAGCGCCUCUUCCUGGUCUCCCCGUCUGGGAGGUGAGGAGCGCCUCUGCCCAGCCACCCCAUCUAGGAGGUGAGGAGUGCCUCUGCCCGGCCACCCCAUGUGGGAGGCGAGGAGCACCUCUGCCUGGCCGCCCAGUCUGGGAGGUGAGGAGCGCCUUUGCCCAGCUGCCCAUCAUCUGGGAGGUGAGGAGUUCCUCUGCCAGGCCGCCUCAUCUGGGAGGUGAGGAGCGCCUCUGCCCAGCCGCCCCGUCUGGGAAGUGGGGAGCACCUCUGCCUGGCCGUGAUGUCUGGGAGGUGAGGAGUGCCUCUGCCUGGCCACCCCGUCUGGGAAAUGAGGAGCACCUCUGCCUGGCUGCCCAUUGUCUGGGAGGUGAGGAGCCCCUCUGCCUGGCUGCCCCCCCUGGGAGGUGAGGAGCACCUCUGCCCAGCCGCCCCGUUUGGGAGGUGAGGAGUGCCUCUGCCCGGCCACCCAUCGUUUGGGAUGUGAGGAGUGCCUCUGCCUGGCUGCCCUUCGUCUGGUAGGUGAGGAGUGCCUCUUCCCAGCCGCCCCAUCUGGGAAAUGAGGAGCACCUCUUGCCUGGUUGCCCCAUCUGGGAAGUGAGGAGCGCCUCUGCCCAGCUGCCCCAUCUGGGAAGUGAGGAGCACCUCUGCCCAGCCGCCCCAUCUGGGAAGUGAGGAGUGCCUCUGCCUGGCUGCCCAUUGUCUGGGAGGUGAGGAGUGCCUCUGAAUGGACGACACACAAUCUGGGAACUGAGGAGCGCCUCUGCCUGGCCGCGCCAUCUGGGAAGUGAAGAGCGCCUCUGCCCGGCCGCCCCAUCUGGGAAGUGAGGAGCGCCUCUGCCUGGCUGCCCAUCAUCUGGGAGGUGAGGAGCACCUCUCCCCAGCCGCCCAUUGUCUGGGAGGUGAGGAGUUCCUCUGGCCGGCCGCCCGGUCUGGCAGUUGAGGAGCGCCUCUGCCCGGCCACCCCCUCUGGGAAGUGAAGAGCGCCUCUGCCCAGCCUCCCCAUCUGGGAGGUGAGGAGCGCCUCUGCCCGGCUGCCCCAUCUGGGAGGUGAGGAGCGCCUCUGCCUGACCUCCACCCCAUCUGGGAAUGGGGAGUGGCAUUUCUCGGCCGCCCCAUCUGGGAAGUGAGGAGCACCUUUCUCUGGCUGCCAAUCAUCUGGGAGGUGAGAAGCGCCUCUUCACGGAUGACACACCAUCUGGGAAGUGAGGAGCGCCUCUGCCUGGCCGUCCCAUCUGGGAAGUGAGGAGCACCUCUUCCUGGUCUCCCCGUCUGGGAGGUGAGGAGCGCCUCUGCCCGGCCACCCCAUCUAGGAGGUGAGGAGCGCCUCUGCCCGGCCACCCCAUGUGGGAGGCGAGGAGCACCUCUGCCUGGCCGCCCAGUCUGGGAGGUGAGGAGCGCCUUUGCCCAGCUGCCCAUCAUCUGGGAGGUGAGGAGCGCCUCUGCCAGGCCGCCUCAUCUGGGAGGUGAGGAGCGCCUCUGCCCAGCCGCCCCGUCUGGGAAGUGGGGAGCACCUCUGCCUGGCCGCGACGUCUGGGAGGUGAGGAGUGCCUCUGCCUGGCCACCCCGUCUGGGAAAUGAGGAGCACCUCUGCCUGGCUGCCCAUUGUCUGGGAGGUGAGGAGCCCCUCUGCCUGGCUGCCCCCCUUGGUAGGUGAGGAGCACCUCUGCCCAGCCGCCCCGUCUGGGAGGUGAGGAGUGCCUCUGCCCGGCCGCCCAUCGUCUGGGAUGUGAGGAGUGCCUCUGCCUGGCUGCCCUUCAUCUGGUAGGUGAGGAGUGCCUCUUCCCAGCCGCCCCAUCUGGGAAAUGAGGAGCACCUCUUGCCUGGUUGCCCCAUCUGGGAAGUGAGGAGCGCCUCUGCCCAGCCGCCCCAUCUGGGAAGUAAGGAGCACCUCUGCCUGGCCGUUGUGCAAUCUUCCAAGUGUGAAGUGACAGCCUUUCUGCAGGUGUACCCAACAGCUUCGAAGAGACAGCCACCAUCGGGAACGGACCAUGAUGAUGAUGGCAGUUUUGUCAAAAAGAAAAGAGGGAAAUGUGGGGAAAAGGAAGAGAGAUCAGAUUGUUACUGUGUCUGUGUAGAAAGAAGUAGACAUAGGAGACUCCAUUUUCUUCUGUACUAAGAGAAAUUCUUCUGCCUUGGGAUGCUGUUAAUCUAUAACCUUACCCCCAACCCCGUGCUCUCUGAAACAUGUGCUGUGUCAACUCAGGGUUAAAUGGAUUAAGGGCGGUGCAAGAUGGGCUUUGUUAAACAGAUGCUUGAAGGCAGCAUGCUCAUUAAGAGUCAUCACCACUCCCUAAUCUCAAGUACCCAGGGACACAAACACUAUGGAAGGCUGCAGGGACCUCUGCCUAGGAAAACCAGAGACCUUUGUUCACGUGUUUAUCUGCUGACCUUCUCUCCACUAUUAUCCUAUGACCCUGCCACAUCCCCCUCUCCAAGAAACACCCAAGAAUGAUCAAUAAAUAAUAAUAAAAAAAGCAUAGUGCAUCACCCCAAGGGUAGAGCGUGUGUGUGUGUGUGUGUGUGUGUGUGUGUGUGUGUGUGUGUGUGUGUUCGUGGAUAGUUUCUCCUAGCUAACCAUAAGACAGGAACUUGGAGUCUUGGGACAGGAAGAGAGAAAAGAGGGGAGAAAGUAUCCUGAACCAAGUAUAGAGUUGUCAAUCUCUUAACUAGAAGGUUCAAUAGUUGGGAUUUAUUUCCACAAAACAAGGAAAUUUGUGUUUUUAUAAUUAUAAAAAAGUGUUCCUGUCUGUCUAGGCUUGUACCUAAAUGGGAGACUAUAAACUCUAUUGUCCAGUAUUUUACUGAAAACUAUGUAUGACACUCUGCAGUCCAUUGUGACAUUCCUACAGCCAAGAAAAAUAACUGAAAACACUGAACGUGUCAGGGAUUCAUGAUAAGGAUUCAUUUCUGGAGCAAAGACUGGUCUUGUGAAGAAAGGACCUGUCCCCUUCUCAUGCAUGGGAUUCUACCCCCAUCCCACACACCAGAAGCACUGCCAGGACAUCUCUGCACUAUGCUGUGAGGUGGGUGGUUUAGGGUACCAUUGUUAUAUGACUUUUAUCAUUUUAGUUCUGUACAUCCUAUCUUGGGAAGUAAAUUUUUGGUUAUUUCUUUUCAUUUUACCUUUUCUUCUUGUUUAACUUUAAAAUGGAAAAAGAAGCAAAUGUUCACAAUAAACUUUACUGUUUAAUCUGAAAAAAAAAAGAAAAACAUUGCAGAAUGAUAGCCACAGUUUUAAAAAUAAGCACAUUAUAAAGAUAAUAAAAUUGUAAUAAAACUAAUUAUAAUGAACAUAUAAAAGAAGUCUUCCUGUGGAUAUUAGUAUCAUAAAACAAUUUAUAUUAUUUAACCAGUUAUAGACUCACUGUUGGCAUGUUACAUUUAACACACACUUGACUUUUGAUUUGAAAUCAUUUCCUCAUUAAAUCCUGUAUCUCACCUUUGAGAUUAAUGUGAUAAUGUGAUGUAGCCUCUAUUGAUGCCUCAGAGAGUGAGAAUGUGAUGUAACCUUUAGUGAAGCCUCACACUGUUUAUUAAGAUCCGCCAAUUUUUUUUGAAGUUGUCUCACAAUGACCUGAAAAGACAUGUUUUUGAUUUUGUGAAUCAUCUUAUCAAAUUAACAAUAUUUACUUUCAAAAAGAUCCCCAAAUAUAUUGAUUCAGUUUAUUUUCUUCAUUUGUGCACACUGCUGCUUGUUAGUGAAUUUACUUAAGGACACAAGAAGGUGUAAUCUUUCUGCCAAAUUGGUACUGUCUUACUAGACACAAGAUUCAUCUCACUGGUAAUUUCUUCCCUUAAUGAAUCUGUAAUUCUUCACAACUUACUGAAGUCUCAAAAAAAAAAAAAAGGCAGGACUAGUGGUGGUAAAUUCUAAACAGUGGAAUUCUUUCCUUCUUCUGUAUUAGAAGCACAAAUCAACAUCAAAGUUCCUCACAUAUUCAAUCACCUGCUGAAAUUUUUCCAAUAGAUUUUUAUCUCAGAAUAAAAGUAAUUUUAUUUCAAACUUUACAGGCCCUUGGUAACCUGGUCUCCACAUCCCUCCUGACCUCAGCUCCUAUGUUUCUCUCCUCUACUCACUUCUUUUGUACUAUACAUGAACCUUGCCACCCCUUAUGAAUUGAAAAAUGGGGAUCCAAUGCAAAGCUAAUAAAUCACAGAUAGCUACAAUCAUCUUUCUGUGGGACAAAGUUCUAUCCACAUGAUAGUUUUUGAGCCUUGAAAUAGAAAUUAUGAGCAAAUGAUUUGUAACAAUAUUCAAAAUAAAUUAUGAAUACCAGUGGGGUGAUUAAAUCAAAUUUGAUAUUGCUAAAAUCCACUACAUUUGUCCUAAGGUAUUAUUUAACAAAACACAGAUGCCUUUAAAAAAUUGAGAGGUUUUAACAAUACAUAAUUUCAGAUUCAAAUAUGUUCAGAUUAAGUCAAAUUGACAUAAAUGAAAAUAAAAUUCUACCAAAUAAAAUAUAUAAAAAGCUACUUAAAAAGUGUUAUUACAAGAUGCAGAAAUGUACACUUCAAAAUAUACUUCAAAUACACUUCUGUUCCUCUGGAAAAUUUAGAAUUAACUGUCAAUGUAAAUUGCUGAACUGAAUCUUAAUUUCAAAAUACUAAUUGCUGAUAUGGGCAUUCCCAUUUUUCUGCUUCAUUGUAGUCAAAAAAUGUGGCCACAAAGAGACAUUAAAACCUUUAUUUCAG